AACCAUUCUCACCUGCGGCUAGACCUGCGGAAGGAUCAUUACCGAGUUUACAACUCCCAAACCCCUGUGAACAUACCUAUAUGUUGCCUCGGCGGAUCAGCCCGCGCCCCGUAAAACGGGACGGCCCGCCGCAGGAUCCACAAACUCUGUUUUUAUUGUAACUUCUGAGUAACAAAACAAAUAAAUCAAAACUUUCAACAAUGGAUCU
rnacentral:misc_RNA from 1 species